rnacentral:rRNA from 1 species
UUAAAUGGCCGCGAUAUUUUGAUCGUGCUAAGGUAGCAUAAUCAUUAGUUUUUUAAUUGAAAGCUAGAAUGAAGGGUUGGAUGAGGAAAUAACUGUUUAAUUUAAAUUUUUUUAAAAUUUUAUAUUUAAGUUAAAAAGCUUAGAUUUUUUUAAAAGACGAGAAGACCCUGUAGAGUUUAAUAAAUUUGUGAGAAUUUUUAUUUGGUAUUAAAUUUAAAAUUUUUUUAGAUUUAUUUAAUUGGGGUGAUUAAAAAAUUUAAUUAACUUUUUUAUAUAAGAAUAUUAAUGAAUAGGUUUUUGAUCCAAUAGUUUUGAUUAAAGAUUAAAUUACCUUAGGGAUAACAGCGUAAUUUUAUUAGAGAGUU